rnacentral:misc_RNA from 1 species
UUUCCCAGGAUACAGGCCUUCCAGCUCCUGCACAGGUAGUGGUUGAAGAUGCACCUGUAGGAUGUGGAAGGUUGUUACUGAAUUGGCCAGAAUUCUGGCGAGCUUUCACUCUUGACCAUAAUCGCGCUGACUUAAUUUGGAAUGAGAGGACCCGACAGGAAUUGCGAGAGUCAUUGCAAGCUGAAGUUCAUAAUCUCGAUGUUGAAAAAGAACGGUCCGAAGAUAUUGCCCCUGGAGGUGCAAAUAGAGACUCAAUAACCGACCAAGAUAGUGUGCCUCAAAUAUCAUGGAACUACAGAGAGUUCUCUGUUAGAUAUCCUAGCUUAUCAAAAGAAGUUUGUGUAGGUCAAUACUAUUUGCGUUUACUUCUUGAGAGUGGCACAAGUGGGAGGGCACAAGAUUUUCCUCUGCGUGACCCUGUUGCUUUUUUCAGAGCACUGUAUCACCGGUUUCUAUGUGAUGCUGACACUGGGCUUACUGUGGAUGGUGCUAUUCCUGAUGAAUUGGGUGCUUCUGAUGAUUGGUGUGAUAUGGGA